UCAUCUCUUCGGAGGAAGAAUCACAUUACUGCCGAUGGAGAAUAAAGUGCCACAGCCAUAUGGAAAUUAAAGCCCAGGGAACGGUGGCAUGCAGCCAUAAAUGGUGGUUUUGGUACUUUUACUGAAGUAAAGGAUCUGAAUACUUCUUCCAUCGCUGGCUGUGAGUCGGCAAAGAUUCAUCGAUUACUGGGUAUGCCACUACGCUAUGAUCACCAGCGGAAGGAGCGAUCAUGCACAGGGGCCUGAACGUCUGGAAGAAUCUACUGCAAUUUCUCUUUGGAAGUUACAGUGCGGUGUCCACUGACCGUGUUCCCCACUGAGAGCUAUUAGACGUAAUUAGAAGAAAACUCUGCACCGUUGUUGUUGAUGAUGAGCGGAGUAACAGCAUCUGCAACCAAAGACUCAGUGAGUUUAUUAGUGAACUUAGUAAAACGAGUGAACAUGGCAGCUCACUGUAUCUCUUUUUCUUCAUGGACUGGAAGAGGGUGGCUGACAGAAGUCUGGGAAUAUUUUACAAAAAGGCCAAACACCUGGUUUUUAUGUGUUAAGUUAUAUUGUAUUAUGUGUAUAUUGUU